rnacentral:lncRNA from 1 species
CCGCGCGGGACCCCUUGCCGGGACUCUGUCUCCCGCGCCGAGAUCUCUGCCGUUCCCCGGGCGUCCCCAGCCUAUCCGUCCCGUUCACCGGCAACCUUCUUUCUUCUCCGCCCCGCCCUCCAGCGGGUAACCUCGACCCUGACCCUCGGAGGCCCGCCCAGCCGAGGAUGCCCCUCUUUUCCCGCCACGGCCUCGCUCCCCGCGGGAUCAGUUUAGCCUCGGCAAGGGAUGCUCCAAAGGCUGGGGCGUGCGUGAAUUCCCUUGGGCCGCCCCUUCCCAGAACUGGGGUCUUCCUGCGGCUGGAAAGCCUCCCCGCUCUAACUCGCCCGGGAUCCUCUUCUCUCAACGGUUUCUAGACUUUGGCAGGACCCAGGGCUCAAAUGAGACCUUCAGGCCCCUGCCUGCCUAGCAGAGAGCGGAGGGCCGGGAAAUCAGGGGAUUCCCCAACCCCCCGGGGGCUUGCCCGCCCUCCUUUCCCUCCAUCUCCUCGGGCCUGGAAUCUCUGGGCUGACAAUGGG